UAUAUAUAUUUUUUUUAUUAUUAUUAUUAACACAACAGGUCCGGAUGGAAUCAUAGUUGAGAACCUAAAGAGAGGAAACAAUUAGUCAUUGUUCUUCCUUAGCAGCCAUUCCUUGGAUAUAAAAUACUGCACCUGUUGGACUAAAUCACAUUAGAAAGAGAGUUAGUAUCAGCAAGCGGCGACAGAGGCUUCACUUGUGCAAGAUGCAUCCAUCGAGUCAGCCCUGGCUCGAUUUCAACAAGAAGAGAUGUUGGAGUAGUCAACAACACCAAAUAAGGACCCUCAUACCUGGAGGACAUUGGUCCUAAGUUCCCUAUUUUUUGUAUCAUUACCUCAUCCCCCACUUGUACGGGGUUUUUAGCCUUUACAUUGAAUAUAGUGUUUUUAAGAUCUCCAGCAUGUUGAGCACUGAGGGCACUGAAAUGGGCAUUCUUCAAUGCGCACGUGAGUACUUUAAGAUACUCCUGUAAAGUGUCUUUCAAUGGACCCGAAGGACCUGAGUGCAACAACGGAGCUUUAGGGGAAGGUACAGUUAAAACCCAAAGACCUUUUUAGAAAGAAACUUGACUUAUUUUUUAUUUUUCCUUUUUAUAUGUCUUAUACAACCAUGAUGAAUUUUGGUUAAUUUGUUAUAUCGUAAAAUAACUCUUUGCAAUAAACGUAUAUAUGUAUUAUUCUCUGGAAGCCGGGCUAAAUUAAUAAUCACUGUUAUUGCAUUCCUGACCUAGGUCAGACCCUCAGUCACCUCACAGAUACCAAAUACAGACAUUACUUAUAACCUAAAUCCCAGUAAAGAUACCCAUAUUUUAUGAAAACCUAUCAUUCCCGAACCAUGGUGCAAUGAGAGGGACUGAAAAUCCAAUAUACCCUUUCAGAGCAUCUGGAAAAUUUACAAACAAAAACUAGUACAUAUUUGUACCCACGAUCAGAAGAUGUGUGAAUGGUCCUCGCGGGCGAGGACUGUGACCAAUUGGGAUUUUACCUUUUCCAAAUUAUGGCUUCGGUUUGCAAACAGUGGAUACAUCUGGACAGUCUAUCCUUCACAGUUUGUAACAUCUCUGACCAAAACCAUGUUUGUUGUAACAUAGCAUAUGUUUUCAGAACCCCUUGGUGUGCAAUGCUGUGGUACAAAUCAAUUAGUUUAGUUUGAUAUCCGCUAGGCGGAAUGACUUUGUCAUUCAGAGCAUAAACCCCUUCUUCAGUUAAGGUAGCUCCUAAUUUCUGACACAUUUCACGAUCCUCAGUUGUGUACAAUUUAGAUAAAGUUUUGGAACCCGUGCAGUCAGGAUGAACAGGGAAAAUAACAGCUACUUCCUCAAGUGCCACACCCUUUGCAGCUUCUCUCGCAGCCUUAUUAGCUAGAGAGUUUCCUUUUGCCAACCAAUCAUUGAAUGUACUGUGACCUGUGACUUUACAUAUCGCGACACUGUUUGGUGGAAUUUUCUCACACGUGUCAAGAAUUUCUUUAAUGACGGUUUGAUGACUUAUUGGCGUACCGUACCUGCUGUGGUCAAAUACCCACGACGUUUCCAAACAGGGACAUAACUCUGCACUACAUGGUAGCUGUAUGCGCUAUCAGUAAAAAUUUUUACAUUAGUGGGGCUAUUUUCACCUGCAGUUAGUUUAAGGGCCAGAUUUAAGGCAGCUUUUAAGGCAUGCAAUUCAGCUAUCUGAGCACUUCCUCCCCGAAGCGACCCCUCAGCCAAGACCUCGCCCGUCUUCCCCUCCACUAUUGCCCAGCCCGUAUAGCGCGUGUCACCCUCGUAGAAACUGCUGCUAUCCACGAACAUGUCCAGAGAAUCUGAAAAUGGUUCAUCUCUGACAAAAUGUCCCGUCACAGAUAAUUACCUUGGCACAGUCAUGUGUACUCCCCUCAUUCUCCAUUAAGGAGGCAGGAUUUGUCCGGUUGUCUGCAACAACAGUGAGCUGAAGGUUCAUGAGAGCAGUUUCCCAUUUUGCACGUCGUUGAUUUGAAAUCAACUUUAUUUUUGUCUCUGCGAGCAUGCGUAGAAAACGAUGUGGAGAGUGAAGGAUCAUCUGAUUGUAACAGACGAUGGCCUCAGUGACCUUCAACGCCCACUCAGCACAGUCCAAGGCCAUCAAACACUUCAUCUGUCCAUUCAUCUGUCCAUUCAUGGAAGAGGGAAUCAAAGUUGAAUAGUACCCAACAAUGCCAUAACUUUUGUCACCUUUACAUUGUCCCAGCACACCGUUAUAAGCACUUGGGCCAACAUGUGUCCGUGUCCAUACAUGGAAUGUCUUUGUCAUGCCGGGGUUAUAACGUGGGAGAGGAGAGUAAAGGACUCAGCCCUGUCUGAUGUCCACUCCAAAGGGGAAGCACCCGGAAGGCCUCCUUUAAGAGCCUCUGUUAGAGGUUUAGCCAAAUCAGAAAAAUCUGGGAUAUACAUCCGAUUAAAAUUAAAUAGCCCCAUUAAUGAUCUUAAACCAGUAACUUUGUUUGGCUUAUUUAAUUGAGUGAUGGCUAUGACCCGGUCUGGAAGAGGUCUCUUUCCCUCACGACCUAUACUUUGACCUUAAAAUGUAACUUCCGAUUGAAACAAUUGGACCUUUCGUUUGUUCAAGAGGAAACCCACCUCUUGGAGUAUUUUCAACAACCGAGUGAGUACACUCAAGUGUUGUGCUUUAUCUUGAGAUGCGAGAAGAAUGUUGUCACAAUAUUGAAAGGCAAAUCUGUAUUGAUCUUCUUCUCUGAUAGGACAAAACCAAAAACCAUUGGUUAUGUCUACUGCACUAAAAUAGCGAUGGUUUGGAGAAAUGUCAUUAAGAAUGGUUGACGGAUUAGCAACAAUAGGAGUUAUUUUAGGAGUCACAGCAUUCAAUGCGGUGUAGUCUAUAGUUAACCUAUAGCUACCAUCUGGCUUCUUUUUUUUUUUUUUUUUUUUCACAAGCUGCAUAGGUAAGUUCAUUGAGGAAGUACACCUUACCAAAAUCCCUGAUUCCUGAAGCUGGUUCACAAUUUCCUGUGCAACUCACUCUGUUUCUCUCCGAAGAGGAUACUGGAAUACUGGAGGAUGUAUAGGACCUAAAACAUUCAAAGGUUCAAUCCUGCAAAGACCAAAAUCAAGUUUAGAAGUUGACCACAAAUUUGGAAAUUUUUCAGAAAAAUAUUGCAUCACUGAGGAAUCAGUAGACCUCUGUGACUUCAUUAACUGUGAUAGCUCCAAGGCUUAAUUUAGGAAUUCCAGUUUUAUUAAACACUGGUAUGGAAAUUGGUAAAUGCUGACUAAUUAAUUGACCCCUAGUCAGCAAAACAUCUGCUUCCAAUUUACUCAGUAUAUCCAUUCCCAUUACCAUGCCCACUUGGCUUUCUCCAACCCAGAAUUGCACCCAAAAAGGCUGUUCAAAUGGAUAUAUUAUUAGAGGAAUCAAUAGAGACUGUGUGAAAAGACUGCGACCAGAUAUACCUUGAAGAUGCAUUUGUUUGUUUGUUAAAGGCAAAU
ensembl:lncRNA